CAGCAGCCGCGGGAAUACGUAGGUGGCAAGCGUUGUCCGGAAUUAUUGGGCGUAAAGGGCUCGCAGGCGGUUUCUUAAGUCUGAUGUGAAAGCCCCCGGCUCAACCGGGGAGGGUCAUUGGAAACUGGGAAACUUGAGUGCAGAAGAGGAGAGUGGAAUUCCACGUGUAGCGGUGAAAUGCGUAGAGAUGUGGAGGAACACCAGUGGCGAAGGCGACUCUCUGGUCUGUAACUGACGCUGAGGAGCGGAAGCGUGGGGAGCGAACAGGAUUAGAUACCCGCGUAGUCCCUGUCUCUUAUAC
rnacentral:rRNA from 1 species